GACGUGGGGGCGCGAGCGUUGUCCGGAUUUAUUGGGCGUAAAGAGCUCGUAGGCGGUCUGUCGCGUCGGCUGUGAAAUCCCGAGGCUCAACCUCGGGUCUGCAGUCGAUACGGGCAAACUAGAGUAUUGCAGGGGGAGACUGGAAUUCCUGGUGUAGCGGUGAAAUGCGCAGAUAUCAGGAGGAACACCGGUGGCGAAGGCGGGUCUCUGGGCCGAUACUGACGCUGAGGAGCGAAAAGCGUGGGGGAGCGAACAGG
rnacentral:rRNA from 1 species